rnacentral:rRNA from 1 species
CCUACGGGAGGCUGCAGUGAGGAAUAUUGGUCAAUGGACGAAAGUCUGAACCAGCCACGCAGCGUGAAGGAAGAAUGCCCUCGGGGUGUUAAACUCCUUUUAUAAAGGAGUAAAACGAGGCACUUGUGCCUUUUUGCAUGUCCUUUAUGAAUAAGGAUCGGCUAACUCCGUUCCAGCAGCCGCGGUAAUACGGAGGAUCCGAGCGUUAUCCGGAUUGAUUGGGUGUAAAGGGCGCGUAGGCGGAGUGAUAAGUUAGAGGUGAAAUGUCCGAGCUUAACUCGGGAACUGCCUCUAAUACUGUUGAGCUAGAGAGUAGAUGCGGUAGGCGGAAUGUAUGGUGUAGCGGUGAAAUGCGUAGAGAUCAGACAGAACACCGAUGGCGAAGGCAGCUUACCAAUCUAUAUCUGACGUUGAGGCACGAAAGCGUGGGGAGCAAACAGGAUUAGAUACCCGUGUAGUC